rnacentral:rRNA from 1 species
AUGCACGCUGGCGGCGUGCCUAAUACAUGCAAGUCGAGCGAACGGACGAGAAGCUUGCUUUUCUGAUGUUAGCGGCGGACGGGUGAGUAACACGUGGAUAACCUACCUAUAAGACUGGGAUAACUUCGGGAAACCGGAGCUAAUACCGGAUAAUAUUUUGAACCGCAUGGUUCAAAAGUGAAAGACGGUCUUGCUGUCACUUAUAGAUGGAUCCGCGCUGCAUUAGCUAGUUGGUAAGGUAACGGCUUACCAAGGCAACGAUGCAUAGCCGACCUGAGAGGGUGAUCGGCCACACUGGAACUGAGACACGGUCCAGACUCCUACGGGAGGCAGCAGUAGGGAAUCUUCCGCAAUGGGCGAAAGCCUGACGGAGCAACGCCGCGUGAGUGAUGAAGGUCUUCGGAUCGUAAAACUCUGUUAUUAGGGAAGAACAUAUGUGUAAGUAACUGUGCACACCUUGACGGUACCUAAUCAGAAAGCCACGGCUAACUACGUG